rnacentral:rRNA from 1 species
GAUGAACGCUGGCGGCGUGCCUAAUACAUGCAAGUCGAGCGAACAGACGAGGAGCUUGCUCCUCUGACGUUAGCGGCGGACGGGUGAGUAACACGUGGAUAACCUACCUAUAAGACUGGGAUAACUUCGGGAAACCGGAGCUAAUACCGGAUAAUAUAUUGAACCGCAUGGUUCAAUAGUGAAAGACGGUUUUGCUGUCACUUAUAGAUGGAUCCGCGCCGCAUUAGCUAGUUGGUAAGGUAACGGCUUACCAAGGCAACGAUGCGUAGCCGACCUGAGAGGGGGGCUCGGCCAACCGGAAACGGGGACCGGGCCCGGACCCCUAGGGGGGGCGGCGGUGGGAAAUUUUCCGCAUGGGGCGAAACCCGACGGGGGCAACCCCGGGGGAAGAAUAAGGUUUUUGGGUUCGAAAACCUCUUUUUUGAGGGAAAAAAAAAGGUGUAAAAAACCAUGCCCUUCUUGCCGGUCCCAAAUCAAAAAGCCCCGGCAAACUACGU